UCUGCUCGCUUGCAGCUCGUCAACCGCACGAUCCAGUUACUGGCGCUGCCUGCUGCAAUGAAAAUGCCUCCGUUGGUGGGUGGAUAUAAACGGGCCCGGUUCCAUCAUUUUCUCCCCAAACAGUGACCGACACCGUAGGCAGGCAGACCGGGAGGUGUGUGUGAGCAAGUCCUCCAGCUUCUCCUGCAAGGAGAAGAUGAAAUGGGAGAAAGUGGCGUCUAGAGUCUUGUCUGAUUCAAUAAGAGGGAAGAGCGAGUGGAUACCGGAGGAGGUGCUUUGAUCACAUUAACAGAUUGUUUGGUGCUGAUUCACCCUCCGAAAAAAAGAAAAAAAGGUAACCACUGAAGAAGGCAUGUGGCGGAUACUAUGGCUCACAGCCGGCACGCGCCCCUCCGGAGCCGACAGUUGGCCGCCUCACGCCGUCCUGUAGCCGGGCCGAGCUCCGUGCACCUCGCGCUGCCUACCUUUUGACUUCAUGAAGAUCCCUGACAUCGGUGAUGUGAUGAAUAAAUUUGAAGUCCUUGGGAUUGUGGGUGAAGGUGCCUAUGGUGUUGUUUUGAAGUGCCGACACAAGGUAAGAUCUUAUAGAUUUUCAUGUGAUCACCUUGUUACUAAUUCGUACAAUCAUCAGUUGUUUUCCUUAUUGUGUUUAUUUUACAACAUGAAAACAUAUGGUAACUUCUGUUCAUCAAAUGAACUUCGGCUGAGGAGGAGUG